GUGUCCUUAGGACCGAGUCUGGGAAACGCUGCCUUACACCAUAGAGAAAAAAGUUGGUAAUCUGGAUUAUUUCAUCACCCCACCGGAGCACAGAAGAAGAAAAAACAGCUGUGCCAUGUCAACAUGUUAAAGUCAUACUUUUCCCGUUGCGAUCAGUCAGAGAGGUCGGUGGAAACAGGUAGUGAUCAUCUGGCUGUGGCCACUGCAGUCACUAUUGUCUUCCUUGAGAGGAAAGCCCAAUACGCCCUGUAUCAAGCAUACUCCAUACAAAGCCAACCAUGUCUCAAGACAAGAGUCAUGUCAACAACUGUCAACCAUUCCCUGCCAUAUAUCAUCCCCAUUACCUGAAUCUAUAAAGACUCUUAAACUGGAGUCCCACAGUAGAUGGGCAUCCCCAUAACCCUCACCUAAACCUCACUCAGUUACAAUCUAGUAAAUUAAUAAUAUUGUGACAGGCUAGGAACCAAAGUUUUGGUCAGUGUCUCCCCGGGAACAUGCAGUUGAGGACAGGCAGGUGAGAGCGUUGUACUUGGAAGGUUGUAUGACACUGUUGAUAUUGGUUUAGUUCUGUGAGCAACCAUUUUGUGACCAUACCUUCUGGAAGAAAUGUUUGGGGUUUGGUCGAUUGUUCUGAAUGGUAUGUGUUGAGUUUAAACAUAGGUGAGUUUAUUCAUGUGACAAUAUUCAAGAUGUCCUUUUUUUUCUCAAUUGGUUUGAGGUCCAGGCAGUUUAUUGGCAGUGCUCUGUAAUAAGGUGACUAUCUUUAAGUAAAGUAAUUUGUGUUUCUAAAAUCAAUUCAUGUAAAUGCUGUGGUUAACUGUGUUCUUUUCUACCAUCAGAAGUACAGCACUGUCACCGUUUUAGGUCCUCUUGUGAACUUGGUCAGCUGAAUCUCUGUAUCUACUGGAAGUAACAGAUCUAAGAAGUAAUUUUGGUGUACUCUUGUUUGUGUCAAACGAGCAAACCUAAUUCUCUAAGCUUGGUUAAACGUUGCUGAUGUAUCUGAACGGUUUCCCUUUUAAUGUGCCUAGAACCUGUAAAGUUUAAUGUUACAAUUCUAAUAAAACGUUUAUAUUUUUGCUAA